rnacentral:rRNA from 1 species
UACGUAGGGGGCAAGCGUUGUUCGGAAUUACUGGGCGUAACGGGCGCGUAGGCGGCACAGCAAGUCGGGAGUGAAAGCCCGGGGCUCAACCCCGGAAUGGCUUUCGAAACUGCUGAGCUAGAGUACAGAAGGGGCAACCGGAAUUCCCAGUGUAGCGGUGAAAUGCGUAGAUAUUGGGAAGAACACCUGAGGCGAAGGCGGGUUGCUGGGCUGAUACUGACGCUGAGGCGCGAAAGCCAGGGGAGCAAACGGG